CCUACGGGUGGCAGCAGUGGGGAAUAUUGGGCAAUGGGCGCAAGCCUGACCCAGCAACGCCGCGUGAAGGAAGAAGGCCUUCGGGUUGUAAACUUCUUUUCUGAGGGACGAAGAAAGUGACGGUACCUCAGGAAUAAGCCACGGCUAACUACGUGCCAGCAGCCGCGGCAAUACGUAGGUGGCAAGCGUUAUCCGGAUUUAUUGGGUGUAAAGGGCGUGUAGGCGGGAAAGCAAGUCAGAUGUGAAAACUCAGGGCUCAACCCUGGGCCUGCAUUUGAAACUGGUUUUCUUGAGUGAUGGAGAGGCAAUCGGAAUUCGGUGUGUAGCGGUGAAAUGCGUAGAUAUACGGAGGAACACCUGUGGCGAAGGCAGAUUGCUGGACAGUAACUGACGCUGAGGCGCGAAAGCGUGGGGAGCGAACAGGAUUAGAUACCCGUGUAGUC
rnacentral:rRNA from 1 species